ensembl:lncRNA
AGCUGUGGGGGAACUAAUGAUUGGUUUGGCCGUUGCAGCAGGGGGUUCAAAUUGAUUGACGGACGUAGCUCCACUAUACUCCUGAACACUCCUGGACAGACCAGUCUUCUGUGGCUGCAGUGCCGAGUCCGCCGACGGUGCUUAUCGGCGGCUUCAUGCCCGUGUAGCGUCGGACAGCCGAGACAAGGCAACAGCUGGCAUGCUGCGGGAUCUACUGCUGAGUCGAGGUCGUGGUUGCUGACUGAUUACGUGGGUGAUUGCUGGAGUGUUCCACCAUGACAGAGGAGCUGCAGGACCUCAGGGAGCACUGAGACAGCUACAGGCAGACAAUCGCAGAUACAGGAAGCAGCUGCGGGCACUGCGGCCCAUGAACGCAUCAUCUACCUACCAUGAGAGAGAAAGUGCCCCAUGUUCUGGGGUACCCAUGGUAUUGGGGUAGAUGAGUGGGUGGAGGAGGUACAGGCCAGUAUGAGGGCUAGCCAUUUGGGUCCCAAUGAUCAGGCCAGCUUCAUUUUUGAUCAUCUAGAGGGUGAAGCUAUGGAUGAAAAUGAAGUAUAGACCACGUAUCGAACGUGAGGACCCAGACCGUGUUUUUACAAUUUUAAAGGAUCUCUAUGGGUGUUCAAAGUCUUGUGUCUUUGCAGGAAGACUUCUUUUCUAGAAACCAGUUAGAGGGAGAAUCCCUGCAAGAGUAUUCUCAUGCCCUAUAUUACUUGAUGGAUAAAGCUGUUGCUUGUGCCCCUAAUAGAAUGUCUAACUCUUCUAUUCUGUUGCAAGACCAGUUUGUGGAGAAUGUGCAGCGCUCAGAUCUUCGCAGGGAGUUAAAGAGGCUGGUCCAUGCUGACUCCACACUGUCCCUACUCGAUGUACGUGCGGAGGCUAUUGGAUGGGAACAUGAGGGCAGCCCUGCUAAUGGUUACAUGGAACCCGAUGUCGAGGUGUUGGGCCACUUUAUUCCAAGAAGAGGUGUGUUGGUAGUGAAAGACCCCCUGAGCUUGCAGUCUUGUCUGAAGUCCCAGGGAUUUUUUGGAAUGAACAUUAUUAAAGCUCGUUAUGACUAUCUCUUUUCAGAGCAUGGCCCCAAGCUGUUUGACCUCCCUUGUGUAUCCGGUGCCCCAGAGCCAUGGUUGAGGGCCCUCCAGUUGUGCCAUCAGGCUGAAAUUGGGACUCCUGCUGGUAAAGCAGGGUUAGCAAGGCUUAGGGGAAAGAGGUCAGUUUGUAUACUCUGAGGCAACCACUCAGCUGGUUGCCGCUACUUGUUCGGCACGGUUUGGGUCUUCUGGGUCGGCUCUAGUGGAGCCCCUGACCUCUGGACAGGGGCUCCCUGAAGGGCUGUUGGUUUCUCCUGCCUUAGUCAAGAUUAGCAAAGGUACUGUCUACAUUCCUGUAGUUAAUAUUGGUGUUGCUCCUGUAACACUCAGACACCGCUGCCCUAUAGGGCUUUUGUCACAGGUAGAGAUGGUAGGUCUACCACAGGGGGUUCGUGAAGUCUGGCCUGAUCAGGUAGAGGGGGUGGCUACCAUGAAUUCUCAGGUUCAAGGGAGCAGUUCAGUGCAGGAACAGAUCAGGGCCUUGGACUUAUCUGUUCUUUCAGAGGUAGAGCAGCACAAAGUGAGGUUACUGAGUCAUGAGCCAGUGUUUUCUGCAUUUGAGGGUGACCUUGGCUGUACUGACCUUAUUACACAUGACAUCCCAUUUACUGAUGAUGUACCCAUGCUGCAACGUUAUAGGCGAAUCCCUCCAUCUGAAUAUGAUACAGUGAAAGCCCACAUACACCAGCUGUUGGAAACCCAGGUGAUUAGAUAGAGUUGUAGUCCCUAUGCUCCACCCAUUGUUCUAGUGAAGAAAAAGGAUGGUACUCUGCGUCUUUGUGUGGACUAUCAUUGGCUAAAUCGAAAGACCAGGAAGGAUGCCUUUCCACUCCCUUGCAUUGAGGAGUCCUUGGACGCCCUUUCUGGGGCUAAGUGGUUCACUACAAUGGACUUAGCCAGUGGCUACAACCAGGUACCAGUGACAGUGAUUAAAGCAAAGACUGCUUUUUGUACCCCAUUUGGCUUGUUUGAGUUUAACCGGAUGCCAUUUGGGUUGUGCAAUGCACCAGGGACCUUCCAGCGGCUGAUGGAGAGGAUGUUUGGGGUGCAGCAUUUUCAAUCAUUACUGUUGUACCUUGAUGAUAUUUUUUUUUCUUCCAGUGUGGACGAGCACCUAAGCCGUUUGGAUGCAGUUCUAAGUCGCCUGCAGCAGGAGUGACUCAAAGUCAAAUUGGAAAAGUGCUCUUUCUUUAAGACAGAGGUUCAGUACUUGGGUCACCUCAUUUCUCAGGAUGGAGUUUCCACUGACCCCAGCAAGAUCUCUGCCGUUACAGGUUGGCCCUGUCCUACCACUGUCACUGAACUCAGGUCCUUCCUUGGGUUUGCCAGCUAUUACAGGCGCUUCGUGGAGGGUUUUGCAAAGCUGGCUGCUCCCUUGCAUCAGUUGGUUGCUGAGUUGGCUGGCACGAAGACACGGAAGGGACGAGGCCCAGGACUGGGAGAGUGCUGGACUGAAAGCUGUGGGGAAACUUUCCAGAAGCUGAAGGCCUGCCUGGUGAGUGCCCCCACUCUUGCUUUUGCUGACUUCUCUCUCCCCUUUAGUCUUGAGGUUGAUGCUAGCCAUAGUGAACUAGGUGCUGUGUUGUCUCAAGAACAGGAUGGCAGGGUGAGUGAGGCCUGUUGCCUAUGCCAGCCAGAGUUUGCACCCAGCUGAAAAGAACUACAGCUCUAUGAAGCUAGAAUUCCUGGCCAUUAGGUGGGCAAUGACAGAGAAGUUUAGAGAAUACCUGUGGGGCCAGUCAUGUGUGGUUUGGACUGAUAAUAAUUCUUUGAGCCAUUUAGAGACUGCUAGGUUGGGUGCCACGGUGCAGGGAUGGGUGGUUGAAUUGUCUGCUUUGAACUACACCGUCUGCUAUCGCCCAGGCCGCAUCAGUAAGAAUGCAGAUGCCCUCUCAAGGCAGACCAUGCUCGAGGAAGCCCUCCUGGGAAUAGCGGUACCGGAUGCUCUGCAAAAGGCGACAAAACGGGACCAGUCUUCUGUGGCUGCAGUGCCGAGUCCGCUGACGGUGUCUCUGCUUAUCGGCGGCUUCAUGCCUGUGUAGCGUCGGACAGCCGAGACAAGGCAACAGCUGGCAUGCUGCGGGAUCUACUGCCGAGUCGAGGUCGUGGUUGCUGACUGAUUACGUGGGUGAUUGCUGGAGUGUUCCACCAUGACAGAGGAGCUGCAGGACCUCAGGGAGCACUGAGACAGCUACAGGCGGACAAUCGCAGAUACAGGAAGCAGCUGCGGGCACUGCGGCCCAUGAACGCAUCAUCUACCUACCAUGAGAGAGAAAGUGCCCCAUGUUCUGGGGUACCCAUGGUAUUGGGGUAGAUGAGUGGGUGGAGUAUGAGGGCUAGCCAUUUGGGUCCCAAUGAUCAGGCCAGCUUCAUUUUUGAUCAUCUAGAGGGUGAAGCUAUGGAUGAAAAUGAAGUAUAGACCACGUAUCGAACGU